AUCCUUUCUGUAGUCAUAAGUGUGAUGAUUACUUUUUCACGCUACUGUGUGAGAUGUGCCUCUCUCAACCCUUGUUUCAAUGUCAGCACAUUACCUGUCUGGUG